rnacentral:rRNA from 1 species
UACGGGGGGAGCUAGCGUUUUUCGGAAUUAUUGGGCGUAAAGAGCUCGUAGGCGGUCUGUCGCGUCGGCUGUGAAAACCCGGAGCUCAACUCCGGGCCUGCAGUCGAUACGGGCAGACUGGAGUUCGGCAGGGGAGACUGGAAUUCCUGGUGUAGCGGUGAAAUGCGCAGAUAUCAGGAGGAACACCGGUGGCGAAGGCGGGUCUCUGGGCCGAUACUGACGCUGAGUGAGCGAAAGCCAGGGGAGCAAACGGG